ACGGUGAGAUGAUGACAGGAAGACAUCUUGGAUCAGAGCCAAAAAAAUAAUAAUCAAGGCAAAUCAAGUCUGCAGUUCGGGGAAAACACCCAUGGCUUGGGAAGCUCCGAUGGGAACAUGGGAACCGCUGGAGUUCCUCAGCUGAGUCUGGGAAUAUUGUUGUGGGCACGAGAAGACAAGAUCAGAAAAGAGUCAUGGCAUGCCAGUUUACACAGCUAUGCCUCAUGCUGAGAAAACAAAAAACAAAACAAAAAAAAUCCCAAACCAAAUCCACACCAGACCCAAACAGUGAAAGCCAACAUAUUCAUUCCUUUGCAUUGGAGCCUUUCUGCUGGCUCAGAAUCGCUCCACCUAUUUAAAGGGACUCCAAUGUGUGCCUUCUGCUAGGAGUUGCUCCUCCUCCUGCUUGUCUCCAGGAGCUGCCUCCACCAUCACAAAAGGAUACUGGGAAGAGGAGUUUGGGGAGAUUCAGUUUUCCAUUGGCGGGGCUUUCGGCAAACGUGCCAGGUGAUCGUCUUUGCCAUUUGGACCGACACAUGGCAGCUGGUUUGGGGAGUCUUCUGUUGUCACCCAGCUGUGGCUUGGUACAAAACUGGUUUGCUGGGAUGAGAUACACAGCUUGGGUGAUGAUCAUAUUCCAUUGGCUGCUAAAAGAAGCCACCCACUGCUGUCCCUCAGCAUCAAGGACUCAAAGAUGACCUCAGGAAAAUGUCUGGGCCUUGAAAUGAUCUCUUCCUAAAUCUGGAGUUUGUUGAUCUGAGUAGCCUGACUGGCCAGCAAGUGCCAGGAUCUGCCCGCCUCUGCUUCCACAGUGCUGGACUACAGAUGUUUACAAGGAUGUUGGGGAUUUGAACUCAGGCCCUCAAGUUUGUACAGCAGGCACUGUAUUCACCAAGCCAUCUCCCCAGAGUCCAAGGCUCCCUUUGAGCACCAAGUCUGAAGAGUGCUGAUGACUGGGGGCCCUGGAAGAUUAACUGCACGGUGGAAAGCUGCUCCUCAUGGAAAGCAAGGCUGGGAAACUGGAUGUGGGCUCUUCCAUCUUGGUUUGCACGGGACACUCACAGAGGCUUCCUUAGCUAUUCUGUUCCUUACGGGGAAUGGGUAGAUGCGACCAACAGAGGAGGAUCUGCCUGUCUGGCUCUGGAAACUCACACUUAUUUCUUUAAAGAGUCCACGAGAGAGACGAUCUGAACUCACAGGUGGAAGGCAAGUGCUGAAGGCACACACAGAAUUUUGAGAAGUAUUGAGUGCUGUACCAAGAGAGUGUGAGCACUCACUAGCAGCGUCCUCACGGAUUCCCAGAACCAUGGGGGUGGCUGUGCAGCUGUGGAAAGGAUGUGCUAGGAAUUCCUGUGAUUCCUAUUGGUAUUCAGCAUCUGGAGACUGCUGUGGUCUGGCUUCCUUCUUAUGACCAGGUGCUCGGAGGAACAAGUCUUGGCUAACAAAGGGCUCCUCAGCCACAGCUCUUUAUCUCUUUUCCCAGACAUGACCUCCUCAAAUGAAUUUAGAGCUGGGAACACAGGGAUCAAGACAAGAAGUCUGCAAGUGAUGGACUAUGAGUCUGGGAUCCAGGCUGGCACCCACUGAGGCCUAAGGCACUGGGUGAUCCAGGAUUUGGGCACAGCUUCACCAUACCUCAUUUAGAAGCGGGCUUUCUCCCAGCUGAACGGUGCCUCAAUGAAUGUCUAUUUCCUGUCAAUGCCACCCCAGUUAUUAGAAAGGCGAGCAGACAGUAGUAACUACAUGUUCUCCUUCUUAAUACUCGGGUCUCAAUGAAAGGCUAUUCAUUUAGAUAUGACACUCUUGAAAUAAGCAAUAAAUCGAGGUUUGCCUUUUCAUUUUUAAAUCUUGCAACUGACUUCAGUUCCUAGACAAUUCAAUUCUAUACAAUGGCGAUGAGGAGGAUACAUACUGUGUUGAACUAUGGCGAUAUUUCUUAUAUGCUACUCUGAGCCGGAAAAAAAAAUUCCACACAAACUAGCAAUUCUAAAAUGCCUUAGUUGUUCUAGACUGGUUGAAAAGCAGGUGUUUUAGAAAUCCAUAAAAUAGUAUGUGUAAUAUAUAUUAUUAUAUGAACUUAUUAUACUAUGUGUAUAAAUUAUAUAACAUAUGUAUGUUGUCUAGAGGGGAAAUGGAUCUCUUUCUAUUCAUAUCAGAUGUACAUAUUUUUGAAGCUUCAUAGGCGCAAAACAUCAGUAUGUGUGUAUAUGUACACAUGUGUCUAUGUGUUU